CUUGCUUGUGCUAAGGUGCAUCUAGUGCAGAUAGUUCCGCUGCGUAAAUGCUACUGCUCUAUGUGCUCCUUUACCCACAAGAG
rnacentral:pre_miRNA from 1 species